UCUCCUCUCUCUCUCUCUCUCUCUCUCUCUCUCUCUCUCUCUCUCUCUCUCUCUCUCUCUCUCUCUCCUCUGCGUAUUACUGUUGCCGACGACGCAGGAGUACUUUCCGGCCACCAUUUUUAGCCACGCGCCGGACCGUUGGAUUCAGAGGCCUCCGAACUAUCGACCCACGCGGGAAUCUAGAGCUCACUCGCCGAUUAAACGCCUCAACCACUCGAUUUAAGUUCGGCCACCCCGCGACUUCAAAGUUGCGAUUCGGCCACCUCGGGCAUCCGUUUGCCGAUCCGUCACCACCAUCGUGUUCCUCGUGUUGUGGGCUUCAAAACCCAAUAACUUGUUCCUACAUCUACCAUAGUUGGGUGGUGGGCCCACCACGAGCCACCGCGAUCCACCGUAGACUGACGGUCGAAACUUAGUGUUCGAGGUUCCGAAGUACGUUUUGAGUCUCAGAAAAUCAUCGUUUGACUUGUUGUGGAACCCGAUCAUUUUGGAUUUGCAUGGAUUUGAUUGAUUGACUCUUGGUGAGGAAUUUUAAAAUAAGCUAAGGACCUAAGGUGUGGCUUUAGCUGUUGAGCAACUUGUGGAGCACGGACUCAGUAGCAAUGCAAUAAUGGUUUAGAGUUUUCAUAUGGCUGCCUUAAAUUUAAAGUAUUCAUACGUGUAAUAAUUUCUUCUAAUAAGUUUAUAUAAAAGUUUAAAUUUUUCUGUAUUUCUUCGUAUCAUUUUAUUUAAUUCUUUUGGUCAAGUGCCUUACAUACUCGUAAACCCUAGAAUUACGAGUAUGUGGCAGACGUACCCUACCUUAGGGACGUUACAGGAAAAGUCGACCAACCAUGAGUACGGAGAGCGUGAGGCGACUCGUACAUGUUUGGCCUGCCUGGCUGCCAUGGCCAGGGGUAUUUUUGGGAGAUGCUUGUUUUAAACCUAGUUUUGUCGUUUAGUCGACUUUAAUCAUAUUUUUGAGUUGUAUAUAUUUCUAUACAAUAUUUUGGGAUCCCAAAUGUUAAACACUUUAUAAUUUUCAA